rnacentral:misc_RNA from 1 species
AGAAGAGGGAGAGAAGAGAAGCGAGCCCUAACCCUAGCCCGGAUCCCAACCACAACGAUUCCCCUCCGAAGAAGAAGAGGGCGAGAGAGGUAGAGAUUUCUAUUCCUAACCCUAACCCUAGCCUGGGCCUCGUCGACGAUGGCGAGGGGUCUCAUAAGAAGAGGAAAAAGAGGAAGAGGGACGAGCUGGAGGAGCUGUACGAGCGGAAGAAGUACGGCGAGCUGAUCGGAAAGGCCUCUGAGCCGGCGGCCCCGCUCGUUGGCACCAAGCGGAAGGCUCAGGUCGCCUCGCCGGAGAUGGCGGCCAUGAAAGACAGCUUCGACGAUGAGAGCAAGCUCUUGAGGACUGUGUUCAUUGGGAACCUCCCCUUGAAGAUGAAGGGGAAGGCAUUGAUGAAGGAGUUUGCGAGGUUUGGGGAGAUCGAGUCCG